UACAGAGGGGGCAAGCGUUAUUCGGAAUUACUGGGCGUAAAGGGCGCGUAGGCGGUUCUUUAAGUCGGAUGUGCAAUCCCCGAGCUCAACUUGGGAACUGCAUCCGAAACUGGGGAGCUAGAGUGCUGGAGAGGGUGGUGGAAUUCCACGUGUAGCGGUGAAAUGCGUAGAGAUGUGGAGGAACACCAGUGGCGAAGGCGGCCACCUGGACAGUAACUGACGCUGAGGCGCGAAAGUGUGGGUAGCAAACAGG
rnacentral:rRNA from 2 species